rnacentral:lncRNA from 1 species
ACCUGAUUGAACCACAUGGGACUGACAUGGCAUAUUGGACAGUGUUGGCUUGCAAACACGACAUCUGACGGUUAGAAUUUAGCCUAAAUUUUAACAUACAAGAUUCGUUGAUGCGGGGGGGUUGGUUUAAAUAGAAUAAGGAGGUGGAAGGGAAUAGUACACUCAACAAAAAAUUUCACACCCAAAUUCCGUAGUGAUCGAAGAAGAGAGAAGGAAGAAAUCUAAUAAUGGAAGGAUUAGUGGUUGAUGCCACACAAUCAGGGAUAAAGGUAAACAUUUUCCCCCAUUCUCGUUGAACUUAACAGUAAAAUUUCAU